CUCCUGGUCUCUCUUCUGGGCACCAACUGGCCACAAUUGUGCUCAAGUGUGAUAGAUGGGAAGAUGGACUGGGCAGACAAGAAAACAGAGUCAUGAUCUUUUCUUGUUGGAUGGAAAUAAACUUCCAAGCUCCUUGUUGCUUCUGCAAGUGUCCUCAAUCAAGCUGGAGAUCACCAGCCCCUGAGGGGAAGAGCACAGGAGGAGGGGACACAGGACCUAUAGGAUUUCUGGACUGAAGUCAAGGACACAGCAACAGAAAAGAAGAGACAGGGCCAAGAAACCCUGUCUUACCACCCAAGAUGCUCAGUGAUUAUGAUUUGAUUUUGAAAAGGUCAGGGUUUAAUCCCUCCUCAGGAGUUCACUGUCAAGUUGGGGUGAUGUGCCAGAAGCUAAUGAAAAGGAAAAGGCAGAAAGCCCACGCUGACCAGCACCACACAGGAAGAAAGAAAGCCCUGUGGCCUGGAGGCUUGGGGAGGACUCAACAGCGCAGCUGGGAGCUGGGUGAGAGCAAGGUUUACAUGGGCAGAGGCUGGAGGUGGGUACACAGCAGCUGAGCUCAAGAGGCUCUGCCGUGUUUCUAAAAGGUGAGUGCAGUGGAAUGCUAGUGGGGUGUAGUAUUACUGUUUUUCCUGAACUAAAAAAUGUUCAAGAAAAAAGUGAUGCAAAAUAGCAUGUCCCUUACCAUUUCUUCUCUCAACUGCUAGAAAACUGCACAUCCAGAAUGUUUCCUUGGAAGGUCUGAUGUGGUGAAGGGGGCGAGGCCAGUGGGGAGAAGCAAAGCGCACACACAUGACUCCCUCAAAACCAAACACGGUAGAGGAGAUCCGGGAAUGCAAACCACAAGUGAGUCAGUGCAAGGAGAAAACAUGUGGACAAAGUCCUCACCCCACUCCUCACACUUGAAAAGAACUUUUCAGGAAAAGGAAGAGCUCACACCCCAGGUGAGAAGGCAGCCACCCAGGCCACAUGAGUAUUAAAUGAAUCCUAAGUCAGCCCUCAGGCACUGACCACUCACCCCACCCCAACCCCAGGGCUGAAAAGGGCAAGCAAACUUCUCCCCAGAAGGAGCACAAGCCCCGGACUUGUUUCACUCAGGACUCUAAAAUACCUGAUCCCCUGCACACUUGUGCAGAAGUAAAGGCCCAGCCAGCAAUGCGCAGUUAGAGAAGUCAUUGCUAAAUGAAUGAAUGAAUGAAUGAAUGAAUGAAUGAAUGAACCACCAUGGUUCAUUUGCAUUACUAUGUGUCACAAAGACAUCUAUUAAUCCAUUGGACUCAAGUCCCUGAUAGCAAAAAAUACAACUUAAAGUUUGUUUGUUUGUUUGUUUUUGAGACAACAUCUUGCUCUGUCACCCAGGCUUGAGUGCAGUGGCGCGAUCUUGGAUCUCACCUCACUGCAACCUCCACCUCCCGAGUUCAAGUGAUUCUCCUGCCUCAGCCUCCCAAGUAGCUAGGACUACAGGUGUGCACCACCAUGCCUGGCUAAUUUUUGUAUUUGAAGUUUUAAAGAAAAACUAUGUGCACAGUGAUGUGGAAGAAGGAGGAACACUGAGAG
rnacentral:lncRNA from 13 species